GUUAAUAAUUGGUAUGACAAAUGACAUUUAUUGUAAAUAAUCUAGAAAUAGUUGGUUUGUUAGUUAUGUGUUACGAGAGAGCAUAUGAUUGAUGACAUCUAAGUAUAUUGGCAAUUUUGUUAUUAAUUUACAUUUUUAAAGUUAAUCCUUAAAAAUGCUUCUUUUUUAAUAUACUAGUGGUAUUCUGGUGAUACGCGACGGGUUCAUAUGUUUUAUUCUCUAAUGAAUUCACAAUUGUUUUUUGAUCCAUUUGAUAGUAGUUAGUGACAGGAGUGUAAGUGGUAUUCAUUGAUCGAUUCAAUAAAAAUAGAAUAAAUAGCUGAUUUAUACCAAAUUAAAUAUAGUUGAACUUAAACAUAAAGUAAAGCUAUGCUUUUUAUGCUUUUUCCAUAUAGAUCAGACCCGGACAGAUGGAGAUGCUCUUCAGAGAAUCAGCUCGUCUGUUCUCCACUUGAUUUAGUUUAGAUGGGUAGACGACAAAAAAAAACAUAAAGUAAAGUUGAUGUUCCAAAAGGAAAAAACAUGUAAAUGCAUGCGUUUGCUAGACGUGGAUUGUUUGCCGUUUGUGCUAUUCACAUAUGUUAUUUGCAGGCCCGUGCCUCUUAUAAGGCAGCUAAAGCAUUAGCUUUAGGCCACAAUUUUUUUUUAAAAAAAUUAGGCCACAUCUUCUAUUUUAUGUACAGUACUUUUUAUUUUAUUUAGCUUGAUACAAAACCACGAAUACUUGUUAACAAAUCUUCUUCUUUAUUUCUUCCUUCAUAUUUUUUUAAAAAAUUCAAUCUUCUUUUUUAUUUCUUUACUUAGUAUGGAAAAAUCUUAAAUCUUGUUAACAAGUUGAUUAAUAAUUAGUUAUAAAGUGCUUUUGAAUUGAAUUUUAGAAUAACAAUGGUUGUUGGCGGGUGGUAUUUAUGAAAUUAUUUAUGUUCGGAAAUCGAACUUCUAAAAAUGGCACUACAAGCAGAAGUUAAAAGAGUUGCUGAAAUAUUGAACUCUAUGAAAGUAAUGGGAGAUUUUAUUAUAACUCAUGGAUUGUUUAUCAAAUAUGUUAGCAAUUCUUUUUCAAAAAAAUAUAUGUUAGCAAUUCCAGUUUAGGUUGCUUCUGCAGAAUUUGUUUUUUAAAGUUGAAGUUGAUAAAAAUAUUUACGAUUUACUAUAUGUCACAAAAGAGACUGAAUGGGAACUAGAAGAUGUGUUUUUAACAAAUAAAAAUUUAUUAGGGUUACAUUUGAAAAAAAUGCUUCACGCCACCAAAUUGUUUGGGACGGCACUGGUUAUUUGUUUUUUGGUUUUGUAGAAAGUAUGUGACGUGUUUGUUAUUGGUGCAUUUGGAACUGAGUUGUAAUAAUGUAGACCAUAUUAUGUGGUGGAAUUGUUCUUUUGGAGUUGUAUGAAUUUUUCUUGAUAGUUAUCUGUUUGUUUUUCGGUUAAACUAUUGAGUUUUUAGUGUAUUGUAUAAACGUUUAUUUUGUGUAGUGUAUAUGUUUGAGAAAAGAACGUUAGACAAAAAUUAAUUGUAAAAGAGUAAUAAUAUUUUUAUAUUUGUGGCCAGCAUAAUACAAAUAAUUGUUAUUGGUUUUUUUCCUGAAAAAAGGCUCAAAUAAUUGUUAUUGUUGAAAUACAUAAAAGUAGUUGCAAUUUGAUGUUCAAAUAUUAAGCAAUAAAAAGAUUCACCACAUCAAUACUAUUAAAACAGAAGGCUCUUUUUUGAGGUGCCCUCCUGUUUCAACAGUAUUUACAGAGCCAUGCCACUGAAAUAUUUUAAAGCUAUGAUUUUUAUUAAAUUCUGUUUUUCCUUUUAUUCCAACAAAAUAUAUAUUUGCCCUAUUAUCUCUCUCUUUCAUCGAUAAAAAGGUUCUCCUCUCCAACAAUAUUACCUUAUUUCUCUAUCCUUUUCAAUCAAAUCACUAAAGCAUAUCUUAACCAUCAUAGAUCGAGUUUGGUGUGGUGUUUUGGCUCGCUCGCUCUCCCUUUGCUCUUCUUUUACGACCAUGGUGAGGUGAGGAUUCUGUUGAGGACGGCGAGAAGUCGAGGAGAAGGCUAAAUCAGAGUUUUGCGAAGUUGGGUAGUUUCUUGCUCCGUCGUGGUUGUGGUUUCCGAUCGGUGGAUUCCACAACCCAACGUUUUCGUAAGCUAUCGCCGCCGGAGUGACCGAUUGAGAACGAGCUGAGAAUGAAUCACAACGCUGGCUGGAGGGAGGUAGCUUGAAAGAUUGCGGCUAUGGGUGUUAGGAGACGGCUGACGAAUCCGCUUAACUGAGGUUUAUUACUUUGCUUCUGGUUUGUACGUUUUUGUUUUAUUUGAUUUGAACCGUAUAAAUCAUUAACUAAUUCUGGUCUAAUUGAAAUCGAUAUAUAUAUCAGUUUACAACGUGAACGUUAUAUGUUGAAUGGUUGAAUGAUUAGACAUUCCAUGGUGAUGGUUGAAUGAUUAGACAUUCCAUUGUUGAAGACCAUGUUGAACUUAUGGUGAUGGUUGAAUUGAUGCAGGUUAUAUUUAUUUCAUUGAUUAAAUUUUUGCAUAAUAUAUGACGGUAUAUGUUAGUACAUUACGGACAGGUUAGCUAUACUUUAGUUUUGCGUAUCUGUAUCAUAACAAUUUAUUAAAGUUAGUUUGCAUAGCAUAGAACAUAUUUUGAAUACAGUUAAUACGAACCACAGAGUGAGAUAUCACUUUGAAAAUCGAGAAUCAUAACAAUAAAAUAAAAACCAUUCAGUUUUCUACAAAAAAAUCAAAACCAUUCAGUUUUUUUUAUAUGAGAAAUUCUUGGGUUCACCCCCUAGGUGAACCUACCAACCAAUAGUGGUUGAGUAUUUGAUAUUUGAUAUCUUUUAAAAAAGGAAAUAAAAUUGAAUUUCCAAAUAUGAUAUAAAUUUUUAAAAUAAAAUAAUAAAAAUACAUAAAUAUAGUUACAAAAAAUAAAUAAAUAAAUAUUGUUAAAAUGUUAGCAAAAUACUAAAUCCUAUACCCUAAAUUCUAAACUCCAAACCCUAAAUUAUAAACCUUAAAUCUUGGAUAAACCGUAAACCAUUGGAAAAUUUUAAACCCUAAAU